rnacentral:rRNA from 1 species
UGGGGAAUAUUGCGCAAUGGGCGAAAGCCUGACGCAGCGACGCCGCGUGAGGGAUGAAGGUUUUCGGAUCGUAAACCUCUGUCAGAAGGGAAGAAACCGCACUGUGCUAAUCAGCAGUGCCUUGACGGUACCUUCAAAGGAAGCACCGGCUAACUCCGUGCCAGCAGCCGCGGUAAUACGGAGGGUGCAAGCGUUAAUCGGAAUUACUGGGCGUAAAGCGCACGUAGGCUGCUUUGUAAGUCAGGGGUGAAAUCCCACGGCUCAACCGUGGAACUGCCUUUGAUACUGCUUAGCUUGAAUCCGGGAGAGGGUGGCGGGAUUCCAGGUGUAGGAGUGAAAUCCGUAGAUAUCUAGAGGAACAUCAGUGGCGAAGGCGGCCACCUGGACCGGUAUUGACGCUAAGGUGCGAAAGCGUGGGGAGCAAACAGG